rnacentral:rRNA from 1 species
UGGGGAAUAUUGCACAAUGGGGGAAACCCUGAUGCAGCGACGCCGCGUGAGUGAUGAAGUAUUUCGGUAUGUAAAGCUCUAUCAGCAAGGAAGAUAAUGACGGUACUUGACUAAGAAGCCCCGGCUAACUACGUGCCAGCAGCCGCGGUAAUACGUAGGGGGCAAGCGUUAUCCGGAUUUACUGGGUGUAAAGGGAGCGUAGACGGUAUGGUAAGUCAGAUGUGAAAGCCCAGGGCUCAACCUUGGAACUGCAUUUGAAACUAUCAAACUAGAGUGUCGGAGAGGUAAGUGGAAUUCCUAGUGUAGCGGUGAAAUGCGUAGAUAUUAGGAGGAACACCAGUGGCGAAGGCGGCUUACUGGACGAUAACUGACGUUGAGGCUCGAAAGCGUGGGGAGCAAACAGGAUUAGAUACCCUGGUA